CCUACGGGUGGCAGCAGUGAGGAAUAUUGGUCAAUGGGCGGGAGCCUGAACCAGCCAAGCCGCGUGAGGGAAGAAGGUACAGCGUAUCGUAAACCUCUUUUGUCUGGGAACAAAGGCGGGGACUAGUCCCCGGAUGAGGGUACCUGAAGAAAAAGCAUCGGCUAACUCCGUGCCAGCGGCCGCGGUAAUACGGAGGAUGCGCGGGUUAUCCGGAUUUAUUGGGUUUAAAGGGUGCGCAGGCGGCUUGUUAUGUGUGAGGUAAACGCCCGGGGCUCAACCCCGGAGAGCAGUUGAAACUGGCGGGCUGGAGUUGGAGAGAAGUACGCGGAAUGCGCGGUGUAGCGGUGAAAUGCUUAGAUAUCGCGCAGAACCCCGAUUGCGAAGGCAGCGUACCGGCUCCACACUGACGCUGAGGCACGAAAGCGUGGGUAUCGAACAGGAUUAGAUACCCCUGUAGUC
rnacentral:rRNA from 1 species